CUUCUAUAAUGCUGCUCAUCUCCAGAUCUCUGGUGCCUUUGGGGGCACCGCCUGCUCUAGAGGAGGAGAGGAUGGGCAACGGUGCGUCAGUAUGCCCCGAAUUCUCGGGGUACACGCGGGCUACAAUGGGUGGGGGACAGUGGGUCCCGACCUCAAAGGGAGAGAGAUCUCCUAAAACCCAUCUUAAUUUGGAAUUGGGGGUGGAACUCCCCCUCCUGAAACUGGAAACCCCUAUAAUCCCGUUUCCACCAAACGCGGUGAAAACCUUCCUUGCUCUUUGCACCUAAACUACUGCUUCCCCAAAAGCUGAGCAAAAAUUCCCAGUCCCUGCUCCUUGCACAAAU
rnacentral:rRNA from 1 species